CAGCUCUGUACUAUUCUACAACUCUGACCAUUGAAUUUGAGCAAUGGCUAGUGAUGUAGAUUAUCUACAGUCCUG